rfam:Candidatus Pacearchaeota archaeon CG1_02_32_132 cg_0.2_sub10_scaffold_203_c, whole genome shotgun sequence.
GCCCGGAUGGCACAAUGGUACUGCGUGAGUCUCGAAAACUCAUUUCCGCAAGGAUUUCCCGGUUCGAUUCCGGGUCCGGGCG